rnacentral:lncRNA from 1 species
UGUCAAUGUAUGGCAAAACCAAUAUAGUAUUGCAAAGUAAAAUAAAGUAAUAAUAAAAAUUAAAAAAAUAAAUAAAUAAAAUAAAAUACACACACACUUAAUUGAGUGCCUACUCUACAAUAUGCUGGGACACAGAAAUAAGAGAUUCUCCAGGACAUCACAGCUUCAUGUGACAAAGAAGAAUGUGCUGUGUGGCCUGCCUGCCGUGGCACAUUAGCAAAACACUAUGGGAGCUCAAAGGUGUGUGUAUGUUGAAUUCGGGGCACCAUCAUUUUGUGGAGGAAGCAUUAUCUGGGUUGAGAAAAGACUAGCAUUUGCCAGCUACGCAAAGUGGGGAUGAAGAGGGCAGUAAAAACAGCUUGAGUGAUCACAUAGAAGUAGCCAGAACAUCAUUGUCAGGAGACCAUGGUCCUUAACUGAAGUGAUGAGACAAGCUUAGACAGAGUGGGAGAAGUGGCUAAAGAGAAUAAUCAAACACUGAAUCAACAGGGCCCUUGUGUCAUUUUGAGGAACUGGAGCUUGAUAACCAGACAGAGAGCAUUCUGUGCUAAAGAAUCUGCCUGUCAGUACAUGAGAUGCUGAUUUGAUCCCUAGGUCGGGAAGAUCCCCUGGAGAAGGAAAUGGCAACCAGCAUUCUUAACUGAGAAAUCCUAUGGACAGAGGAGCCUGGCCAGCUGCAGUCCAUGGGAUCUUGAAAGAGUGGGACACUCUGCAACUAAACAACAACAGUCUAAGAAGUCCUUCAAAAACUUAAACAGGGAAAUGGCCUUGUCAGAUUUGCACUUCAUAUAGCUCACCCUAGUUGCCUCACUGUUGAUGAAAACUUCCUACAAUUAGAAAAGUUAAGUGGACACAAAAAGAAACUGUGCAAUAAUCUCCCAGGGCUUUACCUGUGGCUGUGGAGGGAGGAGUCAGAGUCCCCACAAAACACGGAGUAUUCCCUUAUUAUAGUUUGACUCAUGUUAAACUACAACAGUAAGGAAAGGAUGCAAAUUUACUUAGUCCUUUGCUUCCUCCUCAGCUUGGAGAUAAACUCAAACAGCUCAGGAAUAGAGGGGCAAGUUUACUUUGUUGUUCAAUAGCUCAGUCAUGUCUGACUUUGCAACACCAUAGACUGCAUCACACCAGGCUUCUCUGACUUUCACUGUCUCCCAAAGUUUGCUCCAACUUAUGUCAAUUGAGUUGGUGAUGCCAUUCAACCAUCUCAUCCUCUGUCAUUCCCUUAUUUAACU